rnacentral:piRNA from 1 species
AGAAGAAAAGCGGGCCUUUGACUCUG